AGUUACUGGUAGAAAGGCCCCAAGGCCGGGCUUCGGUGGCUGCAGUAGACUGGAUCUGGAUCUCUAAAUGGCAAUCUAUUGACAUGGCUGCCAGCGGUAACUCGUUAACUCAUUUGCUAGUCUAAGAGAAUUUAUAUAUGAUGGGAACUGAAAUUUGCCUUAGUUUGGUUCAGGAAUCUGUAAAUUUGAACAAUCAAAUUGAAUAGCAAAAAGUUCACAGUCCAUUAGGAGUUUCUAACGUGUAGCAUAAUUCAUGAGGAUUUUAAUUGUGUUGUAGUGGUGAAUUCGAAAAACUGGUUUUUCUACUGUUGAUCUACAGCUCAACACUAGCAGUAGAAUUAUACAUUUAAAGAUUAUUCACAGAACACGGAGUAUGUCAGAUAGGGGUCAAAUAAUUACAGCUCAAGGAAAUAAGCCAUUAAUGGCAUUAAUGAUCUUUUUUUGCAGUACCAGAAGGCUGGUUACAUAAUUUAUGAAGUUUUGGUAUAUAAAUAAACAAGGUGCAUAACUUUGCCCCACUAACUUGCUACAUUCUUGUAUCUUCAAAAAAGAAAGAAAGGAAGAAAGAAAGAAAAUUAGUAGUAUAUGUUGAAUAUUUCCAAAAGAUUUGUGAAAAUACAAAAUAUUUUCCACUUUGAAGAAUGAAUAAACAAAGUGUGUAUUAGUCUGAGAGAAAUAGAACAAUCCUACAAGGUAACUCAUCAUUGAAUCAGAAAUAUCAAAGUUUAGUGGGGAAUGUUGUUACUGUGUUACACCUUCCCUAUCCCAGAAUACUUAAUGAGUUUACUCUGUCAGCAGAAGUAAACAUAAGGAAAAGAAACUUUUGCCAAAUCAACAUAACAAAAUACAAAAGAAAUUUCAGUAUAAGUGGAUUGUUAGGCACUAAAUUAUCUGUUUUACUUUCCAUAUUCAGAUAAUGGAAUGACUAUUCUACUACUUUUUAAAAGACCAACCCUCUAAGAUAAUUCACAUAUCCAUUUUCAGGGUUUAGGUACACUUUUUGCUUGUAAUAAAACAUUUUUUAAAAAAAUUAACAUUUAUCCAAUGCCAAUGGGUGGUAUAUUGAAAAUAAGGUUUGGCCUUUGCAUAAUUAUAGAAAUAUCAAAUUAAAAAAGAAAUCCCUAAAAAACUGAAAGCAGAACAAAGCAUAUUGUACAUCAAAUUGAUGACAUCAUCACCCAGUGUGGACCUCUUUUAAGUGACUUUAUAGCACAGUCAUUUAAUUGUAUACUCUUAGUAAGAUAUGCUUUAAGGACAAAAUUCAUGAAAACCUGUUUUUGGUUCUUUUUGUUUGUUGGUUUGGUUAGCAUCUUGGCAGUGUCAGCAUUGGUAUGGUGCUGUAUAUGUACUGUGGAAUAAAGCAAAGAUGCAAUCAUGUGGUGUUGCUGGAAAGUUGGGUGUUUGGUGUUGCCCAAAAGAGGAGUUGUAAGGUAGAUGAGGUUAAAUCAAAACUUUCUGGUCCUGAAUUUGAAUUGUAAUAUCAAUAUGAACUUAUGACGCUUUUAUCUUAAGGAAAAUGAAAAGUAUUUCCUACCUAGCUCUGUUUACUUAAAAGGCCUAGAAACAAGGACAACUCAGUAGCAAUGAGCACCCCAGCACCCAGAUUCUGGUUUCAAAUACUAUUUCCCACAAAAAGAAAUGGGGGCUCUUUGGAGACCGGCUGAAUCCAAACCUUGCGGGGAGAUCAGUCUGGACCAUCUAGUUAUAGUAGAAAGAAAAGAAAGUAUCUAAGAGUAAUGAGGGGAGUCAAAGGGUAGGAUCAGAUCACUUGAGGGUCAAUAAUAGUCAUUACAAGCUGAGAGUCGAUAAGAAUAAUUGCAAUGAAUUGAAACAUGUUGAAUAUGUUUAAGUCUAUGAGUUCAUAAUGAUACUAAAAAAAAAACAAGAACAAAAUCAAAAUAACCCUCAUUCGUUACCUUUGGAGGAUACUAGAGAUCCAAUUCAUUAUUUUGAAAAAGGAUAAAGAAAACACAUGAAGAAACCAAUAUAUUUUUUCAUGAUUAUCCUAUGUAAACUGUAUCUCAGGGAAACUAAACUCUAAUGAGGAAAAAUGUCUUUAUAGAAUUCUAACUAAUAAAAACAGAACAAUAGAAUAUUAUUGUUUUGCAGCUACGGAUAUAAUAAUGAAUCUAGGUGACAAUUAUCAAUAGCUAUUCACAUCAUAAAAACAGAGACAAACAGACAUAAAUUGCUUCUGAGAGAGGUGUACAUCAUCACCCAGUCUUGCCAAUCGAAUCUGAAUUUGACCAAGCCUUUUGAUCUAACAGCCAAUUUACAAGAAAUAAUAGCAGGAAAGAGGAUCAUGUUAAAUGAUGUCAUGGAGAUGCAAUGAGCAAAUUCUAGAUCAUGAAAACUAUAGGACAAAUGAUCCAGUUGUUUCAACAAGUAAAUUGCAAAGCAAAAAGAAGAGGCAGAGAGAAGUGAACCUGUAAGUUGAAAGCAUUAUAAGG
rnacentral:lncRNA from 1 species